CCCGGGAUCCCCAGGUGUUCCCAUUCCCUGAUCAGGACUGAACACAGACCACUCACCAUGGGGUUGGGGCUGAGCUGGGUUUUUCUUGUUGCUAUUUUGAGAGGUGUCCAGUGUGAGGUGCAACUGGUGGAGUCUGGGGGAGGCUUGGUGCAGCCUGGGGGGACCCUGAGACUCUCCUGUGCAGCCUCUGGAUUCACCUUCAGUAGCGCUGACAUGCACUGGAUCUGUCAGACUCCAGGGAAGGGGCUAGAGUGGGUGGCACUUAUAUGGAAUGAUGUAAGUCAGAAAUACUAUGCAGACUCUGUGAAGGGCCGAUUCAUCAUUUCAAGAGACAACCCCAAGAACGCACUGUAA